GACGAACGCUGGCGGCGUGCUUAACACAUGCCAGUCGAACGGAAAGGCCCUGCUUUUGUGGGGUGCUCGAGUGGCGAACGGGUGAGUAACACGUGAGUAACCUGCCCUUGACUUUGGGAUAACUUCAGGAAACUGGGGCUAAUACCGGAUAGGAGCUCCUGCUGCAUGGUGGGGGUUGGAAAGUUUCGGCGGUUGGGGAUGGACUCGCGGCUUAUCAGCUUGUUGGUGGGGUAGUGGCUUACCAAGGCUUUGACGGGUAGCCGGCCUGAGAGGGUGACCGGCCACAUUGGGACUAAGAUACGGCCCAGACUCCUACGGGAGGCAGCAGUGGGGAAUAUUGCACAAUGGGCGGAAGCCUGAUGCAGCAACGCCGCGUGCGGGAUGACGGCCUUCGGGUUGUAAACCGCUUUCGCCUGUGACGAAGCGUGAGUGACGGUAAUGGGUAAAGAAGCACCGGCUAACUACGUG
rnacentral:rRNA from 1 species